rnacentral:misc_RNA from 1 species
UAGCCGCCAUGGUUAUCUUAUUCCUGGUGACAAGUUGAAAAGGCGUCAAGCGAAUAAAGAGAUAAUUAGGAGGGCCUUGACACCGCCCAAUCGGAAGUUGACCCUUCGCUGGUGGAAUUUCCGGCCAACGCCUAGUCGCUUUUCUAACAUGUCUCCCGCUUAAAGGUUUUUUCUUUUUUUUUUUUUUUUAAUGUGACUGU